AGGCGGUCCGGAGGCCGACGCCGUGUGACGUCAUCAGGGACGGCGUGCUGUCGGCUUUGCUGGGCUCCGAGCCGGUGAAGCGGCUUUCACUGUUCGGGCCUCGGCCGUGGGCGUUUUGCUCUGAACACUGUGUUCCUGGACUUCAAACAGGCUCUGAGCUAGAUGGCGCUAAGGCAAACCCACGGAAGUGCCCCGGCUCCAACUAUGCAAAUGAAGAAAAUAUCCUAAGCUAGAGCGUCAAGAUAAAAAAAGAAACCAGAGUCUAUUAAUGACUUAAUGGAGCCAGCCACCCUGCCAGCCUAGGCCACUCCUAUCUCUGGACUGUCACGUGAGAAGAAAUUUCACAGAGGAAAACCCUGACUAACCAGAACUCAGGAAGGGCAGAAACCAAAAGAGCUACAGGCAUCUACAGCUCACCUCAGUUGGAUGAAUCAGACUCAACCUCUUGUAAGAGUCUGAUUUUCUAGUUUGAGUCCUGUGUCCUGUUACAAUCUCCACAGUCAUAUCCAUUUUUGUCAUUAUUAUGUUGUAAAUAAAACUUUUACAUUGUUUUUCUCA